GACGAACGCUGGCGGCGUGCCUAAUACAUGCAAGUAGAACGCUGAAGGAGGAGCUUGCUUCUCUGGAUGAGUUGCGAACGGGUGAGUAACGCGUAGGUAACCUGCCUGGUAGCGGGGGAUAACUAUUGGAAACGAUAGCUAAUACCGCAUAAUAGUAGAUGUCGCAUGACAUUUGCUUAAAAGGUGCAAUUGCAUCACUACCAGAUGGACCUGCGUUGUAUUAGCUAGUUGGUGAGGUAACGGCUCACCAAGGCAACGAUACAUAGCCGACCUGAGAGGGUGAUCGGCCACACUGUGACUGAGACACGGCCCAGACUCCUACGGGAGGCAGCAGUAGGGAAUCUUCGGCAAUGGACGGAAGUCUGACCGAGCAACGCCGCGUGAGUGAAGAAGGUUUUCGGAUCGUAAAGCUCUGUUGUAAGAGAAGAACGAGUGUGAGAGUGGAAAGUUCACACUGUGACGGUAUCUUACCAGAAAGGGACGGCUAACUACGUG
rnacentral:rRNA from 1 species